GCAUAUCUAGCACAGAAUUGUUUGUUCGUGAUUUCUUUUAUUUAUCAAAUGACAUCCUAUGCAAAUCUUAGAAAUAAUACACUGUACCGAUGAUCAAAAUCUGAAGAACUAAUACAAAUACAAGGCACCAAAAAUACUAAAAAACUAGAAACGUGUUCUCUGAGCAUGUUCUCCUCUGGGAAAGAAACCUUGAGCUUCCAAAUAGCGAACAUCAGCAGGUCAAAUUUAUAAACACAUAGCGAAUAAUAUAUAACCCAAAGACGAGCUGAAAACUACUAAAAAAAAUUUUUUUUUUACAGUAUUCAUUGACUAAGCUCACAAUUCUAACGUGGGAAUGCUCUCCAACACUGAACACUCCAAAAUGUUACCAACUUAACCUAUUCACAACCAUGUACGUGCCGGUGGGUAACAAGAAACCCAACGAGACUCAUCCACGAACAAUUGUCUCAGUUGUAGCUGAUCGAAAAAAAGUUUUUAUAAGAUCCUCAACAACUCUGGUCAUUCAUCUCAAACUACUGCAUUUCUGUGUCAUCACAUAACUCAGCUUUGAAAUGUGGAUAAUGGAACGUCGUAUCCAGUGCGAAAACGGAGACCAGAGCCUAAAUUCUUCGUCACAGGGCAGAACCAAUAGAAUAUGCUGGGUCCCAGAACCUGCAAGAAAUUUAGAUUUUAUUUAUCCCAGAAGGCAUUGACCAUCUGCAGUCAUUCCUAGAAACUAGCUGUUUCAUUAUACCCAAAAGAUGGGCACUUCAAGCUCUCUUCUAGACUGCUUAUAAAUUUUCUGAUCAUCAAGAGUCAAUUAAAAUCAAUGAGACUGUUGCUGACCUUCCCAAAUUCAUCCUGCUAGUCUACUACUAAGCCCUCUUAAGUUGUUUGAGCAGUGCACCAUUGUUCACCAUAUAAAAAAGCCUAAAUCUCGACAUCAGUGCUUUGAAAUAUUCCCUCCAAGCAUGCAUGCCAAUUUGGAUUGAAAAUUAUUUGCACCACCGUGCAACAGAAUCUAUCUAGUGAAAAGAGGGAAGCACAACGGUUCACUGUACCGUAC
rnacentral:lncRNA from 1 species